rnacentral:rRNA from 1 species
CCUUUUGUAGAAUGAACCGGCGAGUUAUGCUAACGUGCGAGGUUAAGGCGGAAAGGCCGGAGCCGCAGCGAAAGCGAGUCUGAACAGGGCGAACGAGUACGUUGGUGUAAACCCGAAACCAGGUGACCUACCCAUGUCCAGGUUGAAGGUGCGGUAAAACGCACUGGAGGACCGAACCCGUGUAUGUUGAAAAAUGCUGGGAUGAGGUGUGGGUAGCGGUGAAAUUCCAAUCGAACUUGGAGAUAGCUGGUUCUCUCCGAAAUAGCUUUAGGGCUAGCCUCGGAGUUGAGAAUCGUGGAGGUAGAGCACUGUUUGGACUAGGGGCCCGUCUUGGGUUACUGAAUUCAGAUAAACUCCGAAUGCCACUGAUUUAUAUCCGGGAGUCAGACUGCGAGUGAUAAGAUCCGUAGUCGAAAGGGAAACAGCCCAGACCACCGAUUAAGGUCCCUAAAUAUGUGUUAAGUGGAAAAGGAUGUGGAAUUGCACAGACAACUAGGAUGUUGGCUCAGAAGCAGCCACCAUUUAAAGAGUGCGUAAUAGCUCACUAGUCGAGUGAUCCUGCGCCGAAAAUGUAACGGGGCUAAACACAUUACCGAAAUCGUGGAUGCAGCUUUGCUGCAUGGUAGGAGAGCGUUCUAAGGGCGGUGAAGCCGGACCGUAAGGACCGGUGGAGCGCUUAGAAGUGAGAAUGCCGGUAUGAGUAGCGAAAGACAGGUGAGAAUCCUGUCCACCGAAUGACUAAGGUUUCCUGGGGAAGGCUCGUCCUCCCAGGGUUAGUCGGGACCUAAGCUGAGGCCGAGAGGCGUAGGCGAUGGACAACGGGUUGAUAUUCCCGUACCGGUCUGAUUUGUUUGAGCAAUGGAGGGACGCAGGAGGCUAACGAUGCGCACUAUCGGAUGUGCGUCCAAGCAGCAAGUCUGUCGGCGAGUCAAAUGCUUGCCGGCUCAAGGACAAGCUGUGAUGGGUAUGAACGAUUUAUCGUUCUAAGUGAGCGACGUCACACUGCCAAGAAAAGCUUCUAGUUAGAAUCAGACCGCCCGUACCGCAAACCGACACAGGUAGUCGGGUCGAGAAGACCAAGGUGAGCGAGAGAACUCUCGUUAAGGAACUCGGCAAAAUGACCCCGUAACUUCGGGAGAAGGGGUGCUGAUCGCAAGAUCAGCCGCAGUGAAUAGGCCCAGGCGACUGUUUAUCAAAAACACAGGUUUCUGCAAAAUCGUAAGAUGAAGUAUAGGGGCUGACGCCUGCCCGGUGCUGGAAGGUUAAGAGGAUGGGUUAGCGCAAGCGAAGCUCAGAAUUGAAGCCCCAGUAAACGGCGGCCGUAACUAUAACGGUCCUAAGGUAGCGAAAUUCCUUGUCGGGUAAGUUCCGACCCGCACGAAAGGCGUAACGAUCUGGGCACUGUCUCAACGAGAGACUCGGUGAAAUUAUAAUACCCGUGAAGAUGCGGGUUACCCGCGACAGGACGGAAAGACCCCAUGGAGCUUUACUGUAGCUUGAUAUUGGGUGUUUGUACAACUUGUACAGGAUAGGUAGGAGCCGUAGAAGUCGGGACGCUAGUUUCGACGGAGGCAUCGGUGGGAUACUACCCUCGUUGUAUGAACACUCUAACCCACGCCGGCAAUCACGGCGGGAGACAGUGUCAGGUGGGCAGUUUGACUGGGGCGGUCGCCUCCUAAAAGGUAACGGAGGCGCCCAAAGGUUCCCUCAGAAUGGUUGGAAAUCAUUCGCAGAGUGUAAAGGCAUAAGGGAGCUUGACUGCGAGACCUACAAGUCGAGCAGGGACGAAAGUCGGGCUUAGUGAUCCGGUGGUUCCGCAUGGAAGGGCCAUCGCUCAACGGAUAAAAGCUACCCUGGGGAUAACAGGCUUAUCUCCCCCAAGAGUCCACAUCGACGGGGAGGUUUGGCACCUCGAUGUCGGCUCAUCGCAUCCUGGGGCUGUAGUCGGUCCCAAGGGUUGGGCUGUUCGCCCAUUAAAGCGGUACGCGAGCUGGGUUCAGAACGUCGUGAGACAGUUCGGUCCCUAUCCGUCGCGGGCGCAGGAAAUUUGAGAGGAUCUGUCCUUAGUACGAGAGGACCGGGAUGGACAUACCGCUGGUGUACCAGUUGUUCUGCCAAGGGCAUCGCUGGGUAGCUAUGUAUGGAUGAGAUAAACGCUGAAAGCAUCUAAGUGCGAAACUCACCUCAAGAUAAGAUUUCCCACUCCUUUAU